UACGAAGGGGGCUAGCGUUGUUCGGAAUUACUGGGCGUAAAGCGCACGUAGGCGGAUUUGUUAGUCAGGGGUGAAAUCCCGGGGCUCAACCUCGGAACUGCCUUUGAUACUGCAAGUCUCGAGUCCGGAAGAGGUGAGUGGAAUUCCUGGUGUAGCGGUGAAAUGCGCAGAUAUCAGGAGGAACACCAAUUGCGAAGGCAGCUCGCUGGGACGUUACUGACGCUAAGGCGCGAAAGCGUGGGGAGCAAACAGG
rnacentral:rRNA from 1 species